CUAACUUCAUGUAAGGUUAUGGCUCCCCUUUACCGUUCUUCACUGAGGUUCUUUAUCAAAACAUGAGAAAAGUCGGUGAUGGAGCAGAGGAAAGCAUCCAUUAUUGUAGAUUUCCUCAGGAAGAAGGAAAGAGGGGGGAUCGAAUUGAAGAAAGUGUGACAAGGAUGAUGAAGAUAAUUGAUCUUGCCCGCAACAUUCGUGAGCGUCACAA